rnacentral:rRNA from 1 species
UGCAAGUCGAACGGUAGAGGGGGCAACCCCUCGAGAGUGGCGAACGGGUGAGUAAUAUAUCGGAACGUGCCCAGUCGUGGGGGAUAACGCAGUGAAAAUUACGCUAAUACCGCAUACGAUCUAAGGAUGAAAGCGGGGGACUCGCAAGAGCCUCGCGCGAUUGGAGCGGCCGAUAUCAGAUUAGGUAGUUGGUGAGGUAGAGGCUCACCAAGCCAACGAUCUGUAGCUGGUCUGAGAGGACGACCAGCCACACUGGAACUGAGACACGGUCCAGACUCCUACGGGAGGCAGCAGUGGGGAAUUUUGGACAAUGGACGCAAGUCUGAUCCAGCCAUUCCGCGUGCAGGACGAAGGCCUUCGGGUUGUAAACUGCUUUUGUACAGAACGAAAAGGUCUCUAUUAAUACUGGGGGCUCAUGACGGUACUGUAAGAAUAAGCACCGGCUAACUACGUGCCAGCAGCCGCGGUAAUACGUAGGGUGCGAGCGUUAAUCGGAAUUACUGGGCGUAAAGCGUGCGCAGGCGGUUAUAUAAGACAGAUGUGAAAUCCCCGGGCUCAACCUGGGAACUGCAUUUGUGACUGUAUAGUUGGAGUGCGGCAGAGGGAGAUGGAAUUCCUCGUGUAG